CCCAUUUUCCAGCUGUCCGUCAGCCUCAGUCGGUCGGGAUUUUGGAUCCGUCGGAGAGGCUUUGUGGACAUACAUCUGCGCAUUUCGGGACAGAAUACCACGUUCCGUGGUGAAAUAAACAGGCGAAAAGCGACAGUGAGCGGUAUUCCAGGAUGGAGGCCGAGCUAUGAGGUGUGGCGUCGUUCAGAAGACUGAGUGAACCAUGGCGGCGUUCCCCCCCCCCUUCACAGGUCCAGAUGUGUUUCUGAUCUCAGUGGACGAGCGAGCCAAACAUGACCAGCAGUUCCACAGCCUCUCUCCCACGGCCGGGGGCUACAUCACAGGUAGGAGUCCUGG